rnacentral:tRNA from 1 species
AUAUUCUUCGCAUAAUUGGAUAUUGCAUUGAUCUUCUAAAUCAAAUAAUAUUGGUUCAAAUCCAAUAGAAUAUA